AAGAUUGUCCAGAGCACACUUCUACGCUACGACUAUACGCUUCCUCACAUUUCUAGCGCUACUAUGCUUCACGAAAGCGGUCGCAGAGUCUGCAGCUAGUACCAGUUUGAACGACAUAUCGGAGACCUCGUUGCUGGUAAGGCCAAAUACGACCGUAACACAUACUGUUCGCCCUGAGAGAGUCAAGUCCGAGAAGUCUGCAUACGAGAUGGUCACCACGACGUCGCUUUGGCUUUGACUUUCCUCUUCGCCGUACACCUGGCGUCAGCAGAGGAUGUCAUGGAUGACGCGGGGGACGAGAGAAAUGAGACCUCACCGGCCAUGAGUCCGGAGCCGCUCAAGGGAUCAACCUGCAGGGCGACAGAGGUGAACUGGAACGUGAAAAGGAUUCGUGAACUAAUUAGCACGGCGGCGAAGGUACCCCCAAUCGGCAAGAAAUAUUUUUUCUCCAGCAAGCCCUUUGUAUUGAACGGGUACACUGCGGAGAUGACCUUCGAUGCAUGGAACAGCGAAGACGGUGUCUGGCUGGAAUUCUUUUUUGCCCUGUGCAAAGGCACUGCUGACGAUUUCCUCGCAUGGCCCUUCAGGACGCCAUUCACGCUCACCCUCUUACACCCAACGAUGAGAAGGAUGGACAUCUCGCACACAUUCUCCGCAUUUUCAACUGCCACGUUUCCUUACUUCAAGAGACCAAAAGAGGGUUGCAACCAAAUGUAUGGAUUCCGCGAGAUGAUAACAGCAUCGAAAGCUGAAAACCGAAGCUACAUAGUGGACGACGCCGUUUCUGUUCGCGUUCAGCUCAAUCAGUAGAUCAAGACAAGAGCGAUGAUUCCACGUUUGGUUACUCCACCGCUGGCUGGGCGGUAACAUCUCAUUACGGCCGAAAGUCUCAUUACGACCGAAGUCUCAAUAGGGCUGAAGGUAGUCUCAUUUCGGCCAAAGAUGUUUCAUCACGGCCAAAAAGACGCGUCCUCCACAUUAACAACCAUAAUGGGACAUCGGGCGUAAUGAGACUUCGGCCGUAAUGAGAUUUAAUCAGCUGGGCUACCCGUUCUAUUCUUCCGUAGGCGUUCAUGCUAGCUGCCUUUGUGGCAGUUUGAUGCCUUUUUUUUUCCUUUCUUUCUUACUUUUUUCUUCUUCUUCUUUUUUUCUUUCCCUGUGCUAUGCGAAGUUUGUCUUCGAACUACGAACCGUCGACGAGCGAACACCCUCGUUCCAUUAGCUGUAUACCACGUGUAGAUAAAUAAAUAACCACUGUACUUAACAUGCUAUAGGAGUGUCACUAGGAUGAAGUAUAGGGUAAGUUGGGGACAGUUUGAAUUUUCUGCGCCGCAUUUAUUUAGCAGUAAUUAUUUCUCGUCAAUGACGCCAUGGUGAGCACAGUCGUUGUCUGGGCUUUGAAUCAACGAUCAGAUGUUCUCAUUGGAACAACUUCGUAGCUUUUAUAAUUAAAAAUUAAUUAUCGCUAAUUAAUUGACAAGGGACGAUGAAAAAUAUAUUUUUGGAUAGACCACACAACUGGCCAAGCACGUACAGUUGGUUCCAUUUGUGUAGAGCACUCCAUUUUUUCUUUAGCCUCUGUAUAUUUGGAAACUUUGGAUCCCUUCCAUUUUUAACGAAACCUCGGUUUACUAACCGUUCGAUUUCGAUGUAUGAAUGAUUUUCGAGAAAUUUUUGGCCGUCCACAAUUCAAUCAUUGAGCCUGCAUCGUAUUUUGUGACACGCUAGCAGUAAGACAAUAAGCACAUAAUAUCAUGAACACGCCAUCGAAACGAAAAUCAAACAACGAGCACAGAAACUUGAAAAAGACUCCUGCGCCAGGACAACCUGCGAUGGGAAGAGAAUCCUUACCUGUUAUAUAUUUUUCAUUCGGCGUUAGCGCCGCGAGGCAACUGUGGCUAUGAGAGGUCUACAGAUGUAGACAGAUGGGAUAGAGGAGGAGAGGCGAAGGAAUGAGGGGCAGGGGCUUUGUGUGCGACCUGUGCAGACUUGAGGAGGAACAGUGGCGAUAUCCAUCUGGAAGGGCUAUCGGGAAAUCCCAGAGAAAACCACAGAAACCACUGUACUGGAAUAAUCUCUUGCGAUAUCGGUCCCACUCGUUACACAAUAUAUGGAUGACACCUCGAAGCUCUCGUUGGCUCGGUACAAAAGACCGAUAAGAAGCCACGUAGCACAAAGACGUCUUUGCUCGGCGAGGUUUAUUUCGCGACAAAAAAAAAUUAAUGGCUUUUCCUGGGGUCCAGAGGCCUCCAAAUUCGAACAAGCCAAAGAAACAAGAAAAUCAGUUGAGUCACGGGAAGAAGGGAGACAGUUUCCCGUCUUCUUCUUGGGAAACUGGAGUUCGGUGUCCGUCUUCUCCUGGAUGUGUCGUGACAGCCACUUGUCACUCCGUCUCGCAGCCGGUCCUGAUGCAGACCCGUUUUUGGCCGCAUACAGUUUUACAACAGCACAGCUGGUGGUAGGGAUUCUAACCCUACACCCCCCAGGCUUCAGCACGGCCUCGACUAUACCGGCAACGAGUGGAUGUCUCUAUACCUGCAAAGCUAUCGAAUAUCGCCCAAGUGUACAACCUACAUGCGCAAAGGAAGUUGCCAUUUCCCUAAGACGCAUGACGGAUGUAAUUAAAGCAAGUACAACUGCCAGGAUGCAUCGACGAUAAGAUUGUACAGAGCACACUUCCACCCUACAACUAUAUGCUUCCUCAUAUUUCUAGCGCUACAGGGCUUCACGAAAGCGGUCGCAGAGUCUGCAGCUAGUACCACACUUUGAACGAUAUUGGAAAAAGGCCAAAUACGGAAAAAGGACACAUAUUGUUCGCCCUGAGAGAAUCAAGUUCAAGCAGCCCGUAUACCGAGAUGGUCACCACGACGUCGCUUUGGCUUUUGACUCUCCUCUUCGCCGUGCACCUGGCGUCAGCAGCGGAUGUCAUGGAUGAUGACGGGGACGUUAGAAAUGCGACCUCGCCGGCCAUGCGGACGACUCUCGAGCGGCUCCAUGGGUCAACCUGCCAGGUGACAGAGAUGAGCUGGAACGUGCAGGGGAUUGGUGAACUAAUUCGUGCAAUGCAAGACGUGAAACUCCGUAGAAAAGAAGCCUACAGCAAGCCCUUUGUAUUGAACGGGUACACUGUGCACAUGUCCUUACAUAUAUGGAGGUCAUUGUCAGGCAUUGUCUGGCUGCAAUUGCAUUUUGGCCCGUGCAAAGGUCCUGAUGACGAUUUCCUUGCGUGGCCCUUUAGGACUCCUUACACUCUCACCCUCUUACACCCAACGAGGCCUGAGCUGGACAAUUCGCGGGUAUUCGAUACAUUUUCCAAUACGACGUUUGUAGUCUAUGAGAGACCAAAAAAGGGUUGCAACCGGAUGCGUGCAAUCCAGCAGUUGAUAACAGUAUCGGAAGCUGAAAAGCGAGGCUACAUAGUGGACGAUGCCGUUUCUGUUCACGUUGAGCUCAAUCUGUGAAUCAAGACAAGAGCGAUGAUUUCACGUUUGUUUCCUCCACCGUUAGCUGGUCUGCCCGUUCCCUUUUUCCGUACGCAUGCAUGCGACCUGGCUUUGGGGCAGUUAUUUACUUUCUUUUUUCUGUGCUGUGCGAAGUUAGUCCUCGAACUACAAACCAUCGACUUACGAAGUUCCUUGUUCUAUUAACUGUAUAGCACUUGUAGACCUCUACUGUACUCAACACGCUCUUGAACACGGGGGGCAAGUUGGGGACAGUUUUUCUUCUUCGCGUCGCAUCUUCUUUCCAAUAAUUAUUUCUCGUCUAUGACACCAUGGACACAACCACAACCAGUCGUUGUCUGGGCUUUGGAUCAACGAGUUAACGUUCUGCACGUGGCUUUUCAGAAAUACGUCAGACGCUGUUUUUUGCAGAUGUGGUCGAGAUAAGAGGUCGAGGUUUUCGGUCCAUUCGUAACUUUCGCGAGCAUUGACUUCUACUAAUUUGCUCACUUCUGCUCUUAGCUUAAUAAAACAUGACAUGGCCAUCGUGGUGCUGUCUCACUGC